rnacentral:rRNA from 1 species
UACGUAGGGGGCAAGCGUUGUCCGGAAUCAUUGGGCGUAAAGCGCGUGUAGGCGGCUCGAUAAGUCUGCUGUGAAAGUCCAAGGCUCAACCUUGGGAUGCCGGUGGAUACUGUCGAGCUCGAGUCCGGAAGAGGAGUGUGGAAUUCCUGGUGUAGCGGUGAAAUGCGCAGAUAUCAGGAGGAACACCAAUAGCGAAGGCAGCUCGCUGGGACGGUAUUGACGCUAAGGCGCGAAAGCUAGGGGAGCAAACAGG